AAAAGGCUUAAGUUCACGUCACGGGUUGAUGAAGUAUUUCCCUCAUUUUGCCCGAGCAGCGAGUGAGGUGAGGUGCGGGGAGGCGAGGGCGGAAGGAGCAAAGCGUGCCAUCCACUCUCACCCCACUUGCACAGGUGUCUCGGCAACAGGUGGCGGUAUGCACAGAAGGGAAGACCUUGCAUGACUUACUCUUCCAAGACUGGGCGAGGACAGUGUGCAAGGCGCUGCUGGGGGCGGAGGUGAACAGGUCAUCACUGGUCACUGCUGCCAGACAAGGAGGACAUGGACAGGUCUGCUGCAUCAUUAGUACCAAAGUGAUAUGUCAUCGAUAGCAAGAUGGGUCCUCUAGGUCUACCGGAUGAAGAGUUGCCACAUCUGAUAAGGGAUACACUGGUGGAGGUUUCAGACACCUCGUCACAACUCCUGCAGCACCACCACCUGAAAGAGCCAAAUAUUUGGAAGACCAUCAUACAGCAUCCUGAAUA